rnacentral:rRNA from 1 species
AGUGAACGCUGGCGGUAGGCCUAACACAUGCAAGUCGAACGGCAGCACAGUAAGAGCUUGCUCUUACGGGUGGCGAGUGGCGGACGGGUGAGGAAUACAUCGGAAUCUACUUUUUCGUGGGGGAUAACGUAGGGAAACUUACGCUAAUACCGCAUACGACCUACGGGUGAAAGCAGGGGAUCUUCGGACCUUGCGCGAUUGAAUGAGCCGAUGUCGGAUUAGCUAGUUGGCGGGGUAAAGGCACACCAAGGCGACGAUCCGUAGCUGGUCUGAGAGGAUGAUCCGCCACACUGGAACUGAGACACGGUCCAGACUCCUACGGGAGGCAGCAGUGGGGAAUAUUGGACAAUGGGCGCAAGCCUGAUCCAGCCAUACCGCGUGGGUGAUGAAGGCCUUCGGGUUGUAAAGCCCUUUUGUUGGGAAAGAAAAGCAGCAGGUUAAUACCCCGCUGUUCUGACGGUACCCAAAGAAUAAGCACCGGCUAACUUCGUG